rnacentral:lncRNA from 1 species
GCUUUGUCCCAAUAUAAUUUGUGUUUUCUGACAUUGUAUCAAGAAUGUAUUUGCUAUGUGGACUGUUUAUGAUUUUAAUUUGUAUUUUUGUAAUUGGUUUUUAUUGAACGAUCUUGGGUACCUGAUUAUGUCUAUUUUUGUAGCGUUUGCAGCAAGACAUUUUUCAUCAGUUGAAGUGUUCUUUACAUAUAUUUUUGAUAAUUUAAGUAUAAUGACUUGGUCUUGUUUUGCAGUUAUAAACCCUUCAGUCUCAGAACAGACUACUCUGGAUAAGCCAAGAAUUUAUUGUUUUUCUGUUAAUUUCUAAUUGUACCAGGUUUUUAUAGUGCUUUCCAUGAAUAAUCUUUCAUACCAAGAUUGCAAU